GACGAACGCUGGCGGCGUGCUUAACACAUGCAAGUCGAACGGAAAGGCCCUGCUUUUGUGGGGUGCUCGAGUGGCGAACGGGUGAGUAACACGUGAGUAACCUGCCCUUGACUUUGGGAUAACUUCAGGAAACUGGGGCUAAUACCGGAUAGGAGCUCCUGCUGCAUGGUGGGGGUUGGAAAGUUUCGGCGGUUGGGGAUGGACUCGCGGCUUAUCAGCUUGUUGGUGGGGUAGUGGCUUACCAAGGCUUUGGCGGGUAGCCGGCCUGGGAGGGUGACCGGGGACAUGGGGACUGAGGUAGGCAGCAGACUCCUAUGGGAGGCAGCAGUGGGGAGUCUUGCCCAAUGGGAGGAAGCCGGAUGCAGCAGCGCCGCGUGCGGGAUGACGGCCUUCGGGUUGUAAACCGCUUUCGCCUGUGACGCAGCGUGAGUGACGGUAAUGGGUAAAGAAGCACCGGCUAACUACGUG
rnacentral:rRNA from 1 species